AGAGUUUGAUCCUGGCUCAGGACGAACGCUGGCGGCGCGCCUAACACAUGCAAGUCGAACGGAGCUUAGAGAGCUUGCUUUUUAAGCUUAGUGGCGAACGGGUGAGUAACGCGUGAGUAACCUGCCCUAGAGUGGGGGACAACAGUUGGAAACGACUGCUAAUACCGCAUAAGCCCACGGUGCCGCAUGGCACUGAGGGAAAAGGAUUUAUUCGCUUUAGGAUGGACUCGCGUCCAAUUAGCUAGUUGGUGAGGUAACGGCCCACCAAGGCGACGAUUGGUAGCCGGACUGAGAGGUUGAACGGCCACAUUGGGACUGAGACACGGCCCAGACUCCUACGGGAGGCAGCAGUGGGGAAUAUUGCACAAUGGGGGAAACCCUGAUGCAGCGACGCCGCGUGGAGGAAGAAGGUUUUCGGAUUGUAAACUCCUGUCGUUAGGGACGAUAAUGACGGUACCUAACAAGAAAGCACCGGCUAACUACGUGCCAGCAGCCGCGGUAAAACGUAGGGUGCAAGCGUUGUCCGGAAUUACUGGGUGUAAAGGGAGCGCAGGCGGGAAGACAAGUUGGAAGUGAAAACCAUGGGCUCAACCCAUGAAUUGCUUUCAAAACUGUUUUUCUUGAGUAGUGCAGAGGUAGAUGGAAUUCCCGGUGUAGCGGUGGAAUGCGUAGAUAUCGGGAGGAACACCAGUGGCGAAGGCGGUCUACUGGGCACCAACUGACGCUGAGGCUCGAAAGCAUGGGUAGCAAACAGGAUUAGAUACCCUGGUAGUCCAUGCCGUAAACGAUGAUUACUAGGUGUUGGGGGAUUGACCCCCUCAGUGCCGCAGUUAACACAAUAAGUAAUCCACCUGGGGAGUACGACCGCAAGGUUGAAACUCAAAGGAAUUGACGGGGGCCCGCACAAGCAGUGGAGUAUGUGGUUUAAUUCGAAGCAACGCGAAGAACCUUACCAGGUCUUGACAUCCGAUGCAUAGCACAGAGAUGUGUGAAAUCCUUCGGGACAUCGAGACAGGUGGUGCAUGGUUGUCGUCAGCUCGUGUCGUGAGAUGUUGGGUUAAGU
rnacentral:rRNA from 1 species